UACAGAGGGUGCAAGCGUUAAUCGGCAUUACUGGGCGUAAAGCGCGCGUAGGUGGUUUGUUAAGCCGGCUGUGAAAGCCCCGGGCUCCACCUGGGAACUGCAUCCAAAACUGGCAAGCUAGAGUACGGUAGAGGGUGGUGGAACUUCCUGUGCAGCGUUGAAAUGCGUAGAUAUAGGAAGGAACACCAGUGGCGAAGGCGACCACCUGGACUGAUACUGACACUGAGGUGCGAAAGCGUGGGGAGCAAACAGG
rnacentral:misc_RNA from 1 species